GAUGAACGCUGGCGGCGUGCCUAAUACAUGCAAGUCGAGCGAACAGACGAGGAGCUUGCUCCUUUGACGUUAGCGGCGGACGGGUGAGUAACACGUGGGUAACCUACCUAUAAGACUGGGAUAACUUCGGGAAACCGGAGCUAAUACCGGAUAAUAUUUCGAACCGCAUGGUUCGAUAGUGAAAGAUGGCUUUGCUAUCCCUUAUAGAUGGACCUUCGCCGUAUUAGCUAGUUGGUAAGGUAACGGCUUACCAAGGCAACGAUACGUAGCCGACCUGAGAGGGUGAUCGGCCACACUGGAACUGAGACACGGUCCAGACUCCUACGGGAGGCAGCAGUAGGGAAUCUUCCGCAAUGGGCGAAAGCCUGACGGAGCAACGCCGCGUGAGUGAUGAAGGUCUUCGGAUCGUAAAACUCUGUUAUUAGGGAAGAACAAACGUGUAAGUAACUGUGCACGUCUUGACGGUACCUAAUCAGAAAGCCACGGCUAACUACGUG
rnacentral:rRNA from 1 species